GAUGAACGCUGGCGGCGUGCCUAAUACAUGCAAGUCGAGCGAAUGGAUUAAGAGCUUGCUCUCAUGAAGUUAGCGGCGGACGGGUGAGUAACACGUGGGUAACCUGCCCAUAAGACUGGGAUAACUCCGGGAAACCGGGGCUAAUACCGGAUAACAUUUUGAACCGCAUGGUUCGAAGUUGAAAGGCGGCUUCGGCUGUCACUUAUGGAUGGACCCGCGUCGCAUUAGCUAGUUGGUGAGGUAACGGCUCACCAAGGCAACGAUGCGUAGCCGACCUGAGAGGGUGCUCGGCCACACUGGGACAGGGACACGGCCCAUACUCCUACGGGAGGCAGCAGUAGGGAAUCUUCCGCAAUGGACGAAAGUCUGACGGAGCAACGCCGCGUGAGUGAUGAAGGCUUUCGGGUCGUAAAACUCUGUUGUUAGGGAAGAACAAGUGCUAGUUGAAUAAGCUGGCACCUUGACGGUACCUAACCAGAAAGCCACGGCUAACUACGUGCCAGCCGCCGCGGUAA
rnacentral:rRNA from 1 species